rnacentral:rRNA from 1 species
GACGAACGCUGGCGGCGUGCUUAACACAUGCAAGUCGAACGGAAAGGCCCUUCUUUUGUGGGGUGCUCGAGUGGCGAACGGGUGAGUAACACGUGAGUAACCUGCCCUUGACUUUGGGAUAACUUCAGGAAACUGGGGCUAAUACCGGAUAGGAGCUCCUGCGGCAUGGUGGGGGUUGGAAAGUUUCGGCGGUUGGGGAUGGACUCGCGGCGUAUCAGCUUGUUGGUGGGGUAGUGGCUUACCAAGGCUUUGACGGGUAGCCGGCCUGAGAGGGUGACCGGCCACAUUGGGACUGAGAUACGGCCCAGACUCCUACGGGAGGCAGCAGUGGGGAAUAUUGCACAAUGGGCGGAAGCCUGAUGCAGCAACGACGCGUGCGGGAUGACGGCCUUCGGGUUGUAAACCGCUUUCGCCUGUGACGAAGCGUGAGUGACGGUAAUGGGUAAAGAAGCACCGGCUAACUACGUG